rnacentral:rRNA from 1 species
AGUGAACGCUGGCGGUAGGCCUAACACAUGCAAGUCGAACGGCAGCACAGUAAGAGCUUGCUCUUACGGGUGGCGAGUGGCGGACGGGUGAGGAAUACAUCGGAAUCUACUUUUUCGUGGGGGAUAACGUAGGGAAACUUACGCUAAUACCGCAUAUGACCUACGGGUGAAAUCAGGGGAUCUUCGGACCUUGCCCGAUUGUAUGAGCCGAUGUCGGAUUGGCUAGUUGGCGGGGUAAAGGCCCACCAAGGCGACGAUCCGUAGCUGGUCUGAGAGGAUGAUCAGCCACACUGGAACUGAGACACGGUCCAGACUCCUACGGGAGGCAGCAGUGGGGAAUAUUGGACAAUGGGCGCAAGCCUGAUCCAGCCAUACCGCGUGGGUGAAGAAGGCCUUCGGGUUGUAAAGCCCUUUUGUUGGGAAAGAAAAGCAGCAGGUUAAUACCCCGCUGUUCUGACGGUACCCAAAGAGUAAGCCACGGCUAACUUCGUG